GACGUAGGGCGCGAGCGUUGUCCGGAUUUACUGGGCGUAAAGAGCGCGCAGGCGGUCGUUCAAGUCGAGUGUGAAAGCCCCCGGCUCAACUGGGGAGGGUCACUCGAUACUGAUCGACUUGAAGGCAGGAGAGGGAAGCGGAAUUCCCGGUGUAGUGGUGAAAUGCGUAGAUAUCCGGAGGAACACCAGCGGCGAAGGCGGCAUCCUGGACUGGUCCUGACACUCAGGAGCGAAAGCGUGGGGAGCGAUCCGG
rnacentral:rRNA from 1 species